rnacentral:rRNA from 1 species
AUUGAACGCUGGCGGCAGGCCUAACACAUGCAAGUCGAGCGGAUGAAGGGAGCUUGCUCCUGGAUUCAGCGGCGGACGGGUGAGUAAUGCCUAGGAAUCUGCCUGGUAGUGGGGGAUAACGUCCGGAAACGGGCGCUAAUACCGCAUACGUCCUGAUGGAGAAAGUGGGGGAUCUUCGGACCUCACGCUAUCAGAUGAGCCUAGGUCGGAUUAGCUAGUUGGUUGGGUAAAGGCCUACCAAGGCGACGAUCCGUAACUGGUCUGAGAGGAUGAUCAGUCACACUGGAACUGAGACACGGUCCAGACUCCUACGGGAGGCAGCAGUGGGGAAUAUUGGACAAUGGGCGAAAGCCUGAUCCAGCCAUGCCGCGUGUGUGAAGAAGGUCUUCGGAUUGUAAAGCACUUUAAGUUGGGAGGAAGGGCAGUAAGUUAAUACCUGGCUGUUUUGACGUUACCAACAGAAUAAGCACCGGCUAACUUCGUG